rnacentral:rRNA from 1 species
CGGCGCGCGGUGGUCCCACCUGACCCCAUGCCGAACUCAGAAGUGAAACGCCGUAGCGCCGAUGGUAGUGUGGGGUCUCCCCAUGCGAGAGUAGGGAACUGCCAGGC